AAAUUCUUAUUAUAAUAUAGUAUAUUUAAUUUCCAAUUAGAAGGUUUAAAAAAGAAUUUA
rnacentral:tRNA from 1 species